rnacentral:lncRNA from 12 species
CCUGGAGCUCCUGCACAUCAGUGAAGCAGCUGCAGGGAAACUUAGCAGCUAUUCUUCUAUGAGCAGCAGCACUGCUCUGUCAAAGGGGAACCUGUGUGGCUGGAACGGAAGCAAGAGGUGUCCUGAACUUGGCAGCACAGCUCAAUUAAGGUAAAGAAAUCCACAGAAGUCCGUUUGCCUGGUAAAGCUGCGGUGAGGACAAUCAAUCUC